UGGCAGACGGGUGAGUAUGCAUAGGAAUCUACCUAGUAGUAUAGGAUAGCCACUAGAAGUGGUGGGUAAUACUGUAUAAUCCCUGCGGGGGAAAGAUUUAUCGCUACAUGAUGAGCCUAUGUUAGAUUAGCUAGUUGGUGGGGUAAAGGCCUACCAAGGCAGUGAUCUAUAGCUGGUCUGAGAGGAUGAUCAGCCACACUGGAACUGAGACACGGUCCAGACUCCUACGGGAGGCAGCAGUGGGGAAUAUUGGACAAUGGGCGAAAGCCUGAUCCAGCUAUGCCGCGUGAGUGAGGAAGGCCUUAGGGUUGUAAAACUCUUUCAGUAGGGAAGAUAAUGACGGUACCUAUA
rnacentral:rRNA from 1 species